rnacentral:lncRNA from 1 species
CAAGGAUGGCCAGACCUCUGAAGAAGCCACUAAUAUGAAAGUUACCGCCUAAAAGAAUGGAUGACUAGCAAAACAAGAGCAAACCAAAAUGAAACAAAAUAAAAAUUAUCAAGUCAUAUCAAGCACACAUGUGGCAGAUACAUUUUGUGAUAGAUGACCAUUUUUAUAUAAAAACAUACAGACAUUUUGCAAGAUAAACAGCAGCAUGCAAUGGGCUGGAGAAAGAAACAGCAGAAAGCACAGUCGAAAGAGCCCAGGGAACCAUCCAUCACAAAGCCAUCCUGCCUUAAAGUGAAAAGUGCAAUUCCCUAAGACUCUGGUAACACCCAUGACUGAACAUCCUGCUAAUUUUAGCAAAAUAAUAAAUAUGAAUAAGUCUUGUUUAUGAAACUGUCUGCAGCCAGAUGAGAGUGGGAAACGUUAGCUUGCAAGAAAUAAAAACCGGAAGCUCUUCCCUUUCGAUCGAAACCAUGAUUAACAAACAUUUGUGAAAUCCAAGUUGUUCUCAAAAGAUCAGAACUGGUAUGAUUCAGUGAUGGCAGCUUGCUAGAAAUUUUUUUGUGUGUGUGCUUGCAAAACCAGCAUCAAUGAUGUAGGAGAGUUGAAAGAGGCAGAGAGGAUUAAUGAAGGAGACUAUUUAGGUUGGUAUGGGCUAAAAACCCAAUGAAAUAAAAAUUGUAACCAAGGAAGAACAACAGAAUAUUAAAGGAAAGUAUUUUCUUCGAUGUUACUGCCUGCUCAGCUUCUUGGAGAAAAAAAUGAAUAUUUUUAGAUCAGAUUUAGAGAAAUGAGUAAUAAGAAAAGGGAUAAAGGAUUCUUUCUUAAGUGAUUG